rnacentral:rRNA from 1 species
ACGGGAGGCAGCAGUGGGGAAUUUUGCGCAAUGGGGGGAACCCUGACGCAGCAACGCCGCGUGCGGGAUGGAGGCCUUCGGGUUGUGAACCGCUUUCAGCAGGGACGAACGAUGACGGUACCUGCAGAAGAAGCUCCGGCUAACUACGUGCCAGCAGCCGCGGUAAUACGUAGGGAGCGAGCGUUAUCCGGAUUCAUUGGGCGUAAAGCGCGCGUAGGCGGCUGCGCAAGCGGAAUCUCUAACCCGGGGGCUCAACCCCCGGCCGGAUUCCGAACUGCGCGGCUCGAGUGCGGUAGGGGCAGGCGGAAUUCCCGGUGUAGCGGUGAAAUGCGCAGAUAUCGGGAAGAACACCGAUGGCGAAGGCAGCCUGCUGGGCCGCCACUGACGCUGAGGCGCGAAAGCUAGGGGAGCGAACAGGAUUAGAUACCCUGGUA